ACGGGGGAGGCAAGCGUUAUCCGGAAUUAUUGGGCGUAAAGCGUCCGCAGGUGGUCAGCCAAGUCUGCCGUCAAAUCAGGUUGCUUAACGACCUAAAGGCGGUGGAAACUGGCAGACUAGAGAGCAGUAGGGGUAGCAGGAAUUCCCAGUGUAGCGGUGAAAUGCGUAGAGAUUGGGAAGAACAUCGGUGGCGAAAGCGUGCUACUGGGCUGUAUCUGACACUCAGGGACGAAAGCUAGGGGAGCGAAAGGGAUUAGAUACCCCUGUAGUCCUAGCCGUAAACGAUGGAUACUAGGCGUGGCUUGUAUCGACCCGAGCCGUGCCGAAGCUAACGCGUUAAGUAUCCCGCCUGGGGAGUACGCACGCAAGUGUG
rnacentral:rRNA from 1 species